AUGAUUGUUUACCCACUGUAACUUACAUUUUUAAUUGUCGCAAAAAAGACAAUCAUAACUAAUCCAUUAGAAACAUGUUUAUUGCAUAAUUAUACAGUCUUUAUUAUACACUAUUUAUAAAUAGAAAACAUAUGCAUUCAAAACAUUCUUGUCAGUUGUACACACUUACUAUUGAAUAACAAAUAAUAAUGCCAGUAUUAAUAGUAGAAUGUCUAAAAAUAUUUAUUUUAGGCCUACAACUUGAAAAAUUAAAUAAAGUACUGGGUAGUAAUAAAAAUUGUAAUACCUCAUUUCCUAUAGGACAAAAGAUAAGACAAUAACUACUUCAUAAGCAAUCAGUUUCAAAAUAUCCUCUUAUGUUUACAAAGAAGAAGGCAUUGUGUUUUUGGUUACAUCAUUUGCAUUAAGAAAACAAACAAUCACUUAACCAGCACACUCAAUAAAACAAGUCAUUUGUAUAUUAAAUAAUCUAAAGACUCAUUGCAUUAGCAAAAAAAAAAAAAAAAAAC